rnacentral:rRNA from 1 species
GCCCUAGUAACGGCGAGUGAAGCGGCAACAGCUCAAAUUUGAAAUCUGGCGCAAGCCCGAGUUGUAAUUUGUAGAGGAUGUUUCUGGCGACGUACCUUCCGAGUUCCCUGGAACGGGACGCCAUAGAGGGUGAGAGCCCCGUACGGUUGGUUGCCUAGCCUCUGUGAAACUCCUUCGACGAGUCGAGUAGUUUGGGAAUGCUGCUCUAAAUGGGAGGUAUACGUCUUCUAAAGCUAAAUACCGGCCAGAGACCGAUAGCGCACAAGUAGAGUGAUCGAAAGAUGAAAAGCACUUUGAAAAGAGGGUUAAAUAGUACGUGAAAUUGUUGAAAGGGAAGCGUUUAUGACCAGACUUGGGCAGGUUGAUCAUCCGUGGUUCUCCGCGGUGCACUCUGCCUGCCCAGGCCAGCAUCAGUUCAGUUCGGGGGAUAAAGGCUUCGGGAAUGUAGCUCCCUCGGGAGUGUUAUAGACCGUUGCGUAAUACCCUGAUCUGGACUGAGGUUCGCGCUCUGCAAGGAUGCUGGCGUAAUGGUCAUCAGCGACCCGUCUUGAAACACGGACCAAGGAGUCGUCUUCGUAUGCGAGUGUUCGGGUGUCAAACCCCUACGCGUAAUGAAAGUGAACGU